CCAACCCAUGAACCAUGAAAUCAUGGCCUGAGCGGAAGUCGGAUGCUUAACUGACUGAGCCAUCCAGGCUCCCCAUCAGUUCUUAAACUGUGUGGGUGUGGGUAGGUGGGGAGAAUGAUUUAAAUCUUGAUCCAAAGGCAUAUCAGAUACUCUAAGGGAAUCAAAGAGACUUGGCUAUUCACUACAAGUUAUUUUGGUUAAGAAUCUUUAGUUUAGGCUUCAUUUCUAUUUUCUUUACAAAUACCUAUUUUUUAAUAAUAGCUUCUUAUUAAUAUGUAUUUAGGAUUACGGAAAUCUUAGAACUUCUGCCUGGCUAAGACGCAUUGGGUGAAGACAGUUUGAACUUCCCUGGCCAUUUAGAAUAGCCAGUGGUUACAAGUUAAUUCUCCAGCUCAUGCUCUCUUGUUUAGUUUAUAGAUUCUUUAAGAGGUAAGCAUGGCAAAUACCUUUCUUUAAGGGAGCUAUUCUUGGAAAGAAUUUCAAAAGGAAAUAAAAGGCACUGUUGCCAAUAUGACCCAAAACUUCAGAAAAUAUAUUAAAAUAAUGAGCUAUAUUUGUGAAAAUUAAAAAAUAAAUUUACUCUUUAAUCCUA